rfam:Danio rerio chromosome 4, GRCz11 reference primary assembly.
GCCGAAAUAGCUCAGUUGGGAGAGUGUAGACUGAAGAUCUAAAGGUCCCUGGUUCGAUCCCGGGUUUCGGCA